rnacentral:rRNA from 1 species
UGCUAAAAACCCCGACUUCGGAAGGGGUGUAUUUAUAAGAUAAAAAACCAAUGCCCUUCGGGGCUCCUUGGUGAUUCAUGAUAACUUAACGAAUCGCAUGGCCUUGCGCCGGCGAUGGUUCAUUCAAAUUUCUGCCCUAUCAACUUUCGAUGGUAGGAUAGUGGCCUACCAUGGUAUCAACGGGAAACGGGGAAUUAGGGUUCUAUUCCGGAGAGGGAGCCUGAGAAACGGCUACCACAUCCAAGGAAGGCAGCAGGCGCGCAAAUUACCCAAUCCCGACACGGGGAGGUAGUGACAAUAAAUACUGAUACAGGGCUCUUUUGGGUCUUGUAAUUGGAAUGAGUACAAUUUAAAUCCCUUAACGAGGAACAAUUGGAGGGCAAGUCUGGUGGACACACGUCCCAGUGGCAAGACACUGCUGACGCCGGA